AGUGAACGCUGGCGGUAGGCCUAACACAUGCAAGUCGAACGGCAGCACAGUAAGAGCUUGCUCUUACGGGUGGCGAGUGGCGGACGGGUGAGGAAUACAUCGGAAUCUACUUUUUCGUGGGGGAUAACGUAGGGAAACUUACGCUAAUACCGCAUACGACCUACGGGUGAAAGCAGGGGAUCUUCGGACCUUGCGCGAUUGAAUGAGCCGAUGUCGGAUUAGCUAGUUGGCGGGGUAAAGGCCCACCAAGGCGACGAUCCGUAGCUGGUCUGAGAGGAUGAUCAGCCACACUGGAACUGAGACACGGUCCAGACUCCUACGGGAGGCAGCAGUGGGGAAUAUUGGACAAAGGGCGCAAGCCUGAUCCAGCCAUACCGCGUGGGUGAAGAAGGCCUUCGGGUUGUAAAGCCCUUUUGUUGGGAAAGAAAAGCAGCAGGUUAAUACCCGGCUGUUCUGACGGUACCCAAAGAAUAAGCACCGGCUAACUUCGUG
rnacentral:rRNA from 1 species